rnacentral:rRNA from 1 species
AUGAACGCUGGCGGCGUGCCUAAUACAUGCAAGUCGAGCGAACAGACGAGGAGCUUGCUCCUCUGACGUUCGCGGCGGACGGGUGAGUAACACGUGGAUAACCUACCUAUAAGACUGGGAUAACUUCGGGAAACCGGAGCUAAUACCGGAUAAUAUAUUGAACCGCAUGGUUCAAUAGUGAAAGACGGUUUUGCUGUCACUUAUAGAUGGAUCCGCGCCGCAUUAGCUAGUUGGUAAGGUAACGGCUUACCAAGGCAACGAUGCGUAGCCGACCUGAGAGGGUGAUCGGCCACACUGGAACUGAGACACGGUCCAGACUCCGACGGGAGGCAGCAGUAGGGAAUCUUCCGCAAUGGGCGAAAGCCUGACGGAGCAACGCCGCGUGAGUGAUGAAGGUCUUCGGAUCGUAAAACUCUGUUAUUAGGGAAGAACAAAUGUGUAAGUAACUAUGCACGUCUUGACGGUACCUAAUCAGAAAGCCACGGCUAACUACGUG